rnacentral:tRNA from 1 species
UUUAUUAUAAUUUAUAUAGAAUAUUGUAUUGAAGAUACAAAAGAGACACGAUGUCUAUGGAUA